UAAAACAAACUGAAUAACAAUAUAUGAACAAAAAUACCCAAGUCUGGAAAUGUAUACAAUAAUAAAAUUUGAAAUAUGAAGAGUAGCCAGGUCCUGCGAACGUCAAGCAACUACCUCAACAACUUUGGAAAAAUCUCUACAGACUAUGACUGCUCAGCUAAGCCUCCGGUACACCUGAAUCUGCACACAAGAUGCAGGGAGUAGGGUGAGUACUACCGACUCAAUGAAUAAUAAGCAUAGAAAACGUCAGAAGAUAAGAAAUCCACGAAAUGCCACAAAUCAAAGCUAAAACUAACAGUCUGACACCUUAACUACGAACUUACAACAAAGGAAUAUCAAUUAUAUAAGUCAAGUAUCAUGCAAAGAUGCAAUGCAAUUCACAUGAAUCCGAUGCGAUGUACAGCCCAACCGGUUUAACAUCGACGGCGCUCACAGGGGGUGUACAGACUCUGGAGGAGCUCCUUCAGCCCAAGCGCGAUAUCUUCAUAUCAUUGUUGCGGCGUGCAGCCCGACCCAUACUCAGUCCACAGUAUGCAGUAAGUCACAUAGCAGAUUCAAUCUAAUUCCUUCCCAAUUUCCAGUUACUAAGGUGAAUAUAAUUUAAUUAGUUAAUUUCAUAAAUAAGGUGACUUAGCAUUUAAUAACAAUAAUUAAGCACAGGACUGAGAUCAUUGAUUUUUCAAAUCAUGUUAUCACACAAAUAUUCAUCCUAGACGGAUUGCUACAGAUCGGCACAAGGCCCAUCAUGGCAACAAGCUCAGAUAAAUGCCAUACCCCAAGUCUGAGGGACAUGACCGGCACUCAACCGGGUACCCCCAAUCGAGUGGACCUGGGUGCCUUACCUGACCCACGAGUUACCCCACAUUUUUUUCAUCACUUACUAACCGAGUGGAAACAACUGUUUAUAAUUGAAACUCCCUUCUUACAAAACAUACAUAACAUUGAUGACAUUAGCGUGGUUUGCGAUUUACAAUGCCUAAAAAUAAAAGUACUUACUACAUGGCUCAUGACCCACAUUUCAUGUCUACGGAGCCUCAAAGGAUGAAAAUGACAGUACUAUACUUGCCGGUAACAAGGCUCCGUCUAUACCUUUUUACAUAUACCAAAAUAAAAUCCUAAAUUACAAGAAAGAGGGUAGCAUGAUCUACGCAGAGCCCCGGAAAGAAAGGGGCUCACCAAUACAGCUGAUAGGGAAUGAGGGAGAGCUACGAAUGGUGGUGGAGUACCUGCUGUAGAUCCGCCUACAAUUAUAACACGAAUGUAGCGCCCCCGGCAAAAGGGACGUCAGCACAUUUGCAUUGUACUGGUAUGUAUGAACAAAACUUGUCCCAAGUAAACUCAAGCCAUACGCAAGUAGAACACAACAAUAGAAACGACAACCAAACACACAUAGAAAGUGCAAUUAGCCAAACAAAGGGCAACAAGUAAAACACAGUAAUGGAAGUAGCAACCAAACACACAUAGAAGGUACAAUAAGCCAAACAAAGGGGCAAUCAGUGCCCCACAUGUUACAAACUCUCCUGCUGUCUCCUUUCACAAUUCCACAUCAAUGAUUUCACCAUAUUGUUCAAGUGUAUAUUUCAAUAGUAAUUUCGAUCACUUUUCCACCCUUAUUACCUCAGUCACUCUUAUCACACCAACCCACUUCUGAUUACACCGUGUUGCAGCGCGCAACCCGACCCCACCGUACAGUUUCAACUCACAACAAACACAACCAAACAGAAAAUCACAAGGAUAAACAACAAAUACUCCUCAAGACAUUGCCAUAACAAUGUUACAAGUGUUUCCAUAACCAUUAGUACCAAUUUCAUUACUUUAAACAGCUCGUACUCAAUUCAAGAUACCACAGUUUCUCACAACAUUUCAAGUACAUUCUUAUCACAAAUAGCCUUGUUUCAACAUUUACGGAUUUCUUCAAUCACUUGUUAUUCAAAUUUUACCACGAGGUGCAUUCAAAAUCAUACCACUCACAAGAGGCUCACAAAUAACCAACAUAGAUAUCAACUACCAAACAAUUUACAUACCAAGCAAGGCUAUUUCACAAGGAUCAAGGUUAGCCAUAGAUACCUGGAGUCGAAUUCCCUUUCUAAGUUCCUAUUCUCAGUCAUCAGGAUAUCUAGCCACAUCAAUAUAAUUCACAAAUUAACACAUGCAUCUUAGAAUUGAAGUUCACAAUUACUACUCGGUUUAUUUUAGGAUAUCAAGCACAGUUCUCUACCUCUACCCAAUUUCCCUUUUACUAGAUCUUAAGUUUUGAGUGACAUGCAUGAGGCUUUCCAAUUAUAAGUUCAAUAUUAAAGCAUAGGACUCCCUCCCACAGCUUAAGUCUGAAAAAUUGGGAAAAAGCGUUAUAGAUUAUACCUGUAAGAGUGGAGAUGAAGACAAUAACUUAAACUUGUCCCCGCCCGGAUAGUUUUGGAGGAUCAAUUUAAUGAAGAAUCCUUUCUCUAGCAAGAACUCUCCCUUCCCUAUAUCAUAUUUUGUUCAUAAAUCAUGUAAAAAUGAGGGGUUGGGGCGUUUUAUUAGAAAAGGGGUGGGGUUUAAAAUUUUUAGAAAUCUGAUGCUCGUGUAGGAUCUGCGGUCAACAAUGCGAUCACAUAGUUGACAUGCGGUCCGCAUAUUGGACCGCAGAGUGGUCCCAAAUUGCUGGCCUCUCUACUUGGGUAUGCGGUGAGAAUGAUGUCCGCAUACCUGUUCCGCGGACGCAUAUUGCACCGCAGAAUUGACCUCCACAAAUCCUUGAGAAAUUUAUGCGACGACUAUGCGGUCCGCAUAUUGGUUAUUCGAUUGCAUAAUGGACCACAUUUUCAACAUCCAAUUUGGCUACUCUUUGACUAAAUUUGCGGUCAAGAUGCAGUCCGCAUACCUGAUCUGCGACCGCAUUCUUGACCGCAGAAAUGACAUUUUCUCGAAACAUUUGACUCUAGAUAUUUAAGUAUAAAAUCAAUAGAAAAGGGUUUCAAUACAUAGGGGGACCUGACUCUAUGAGUUGCUAGGACUCGAGAACUCAUUCUCACGGGGUCUUAGAUUCUCCCCCGCUUAAAAUCAUUCGUCCUCAAGUGAGAACUUCGAAAAUAAAAUGGUUUGAAAGCAUGGUAUGCAAGCUCCUAAGUUUCCACUAACUCUUAUAAUUUAGAAAAUUUUUCUAGAGUUUCCUUUGUAAUAUGGACAUAUACACCUGUCAGUGAGUCCCAUAACAUAUUUCCAAGUACCAGUAUGCAAAUCUUGCUACUCCUAUAACAGUUAUACAAUGCAUGACCUUCACACUUAUACGUAUUAAACCUCUCGACACACUUUUAACCAUUUUGGUACACCACAUACAAUUAAAUUAAGCAUUAAUCGUCUGUACUAUCAAAGCCAUUUACAUACACAAUCACAAGAGUAUGAUACCUACAUUUAACAAGAAGGGCUGCCUAUGGUUCAAUUCAUUACCUUCAUACCUGCACACAUUCAAUUGCUUGAUACCCUUCUGCACAUAGUUGAUUAUUUUUGGGAGUGCGACACAGUUAAUCAUUUCAAUUUAAUCCCUUCAUGCAAAACUAAUCAUUAUUUCUUUACACUCACCCUACCAUGGGCCGAUUAUCCACCACAAAAACACACAAAAGUUUUUGCACAACUUGAAGAAUUAUAAUUGUAAAGUAUUUAGGAACUUUUACACUAAAGGAGACACAAUGCUAGUUUGCUUAGGGACAAGGACUUACCAGACCACUCCUAGACUUGCUCGAACAAAUGGGGGUAUUUUACUUUCAUUUCAUCUUCCGCUUCCCACGUGGCCUCUUCUCCUAGACUUUCUCAAACAAAUGGGGAUAUUUUACUUUUAUUUCAUCUUCCACUUCCCACGUAGCCUCUUCGGCUUGUUGUUUUUGCCACAAGACCUUGACCGGAGCAAUUUCCUUAUUUUGCAACUUACGGACUUAUCUAUAAAGAAUAGCAUUCGGGAUUUCUUCAUAUGAUAGCUCUUUAGUAACCUUGAUGUCUUCAACUAUCACGAUGGUGGACGGAUCCCCAACCACUUUCCUUAACAUGGACACGUGGAAUACCGGGUGCACUAAGGAUAUUUCAGGGGGCAACUCCAGCCUAUAAGAAACUUGUCCGAUCCAUUGAAUAAUCUGAUAAGGCCCGACAUAUCUAGGAAUUAACUUUCCUUUCUUCCCAGAUCGCAUGACUCCCUUAAUGGGAUAUACCCGCAAGAAUACCCAAUCACCCUCUUGAAACUUCAAUUCCUUCGACGCAAGUCCGCAUAGGAUUUCUAGCGACUCUGAGCAGUCUUCAUCCUUCCUUGAAUUACUUUAACAUAUUCCAUUGCUUGGUGCACGAUAUCCGGCCCUAUCAAUUCUGCCUCACCUACUUCGAACCACCAGAUCGGGGACCUACACCUCAUCCCGUACAAUGCCUCGAACGGGACCAUCUGGAUGCUAGUAUGGAAGCUGUUGUUGUAAGAAAAUUCUAUAAGGGGCAAAUGAUCAUCCCAAUUACCCUUGAANNNNNNNNNNNNNNNNNNNNNNNNNNNNNNNNNNNNNNNNNNNNNNNNNNNNNNNNNNNNNNNNNNNNNNNNNNNNNNNNNNNNNNNNNNNNNNNNNNNNNNNNNNNNNNNNNNNNNNGAUUCAUUUUCAACUUGAUAUACUUUCUUAGAACCUAGGUGCACCGAAUACCUAGAAUGAUGAGCCUCCGCCAUUACCCUUUCCUGAAGAUUAUCUACAUAUGGAACACAUAGCCUCCCUUGAAGACGCAACACACCAUCAUUGCCACUGAGUGAAAAUGCCGAAAUCUUGUUACUUCGAAUCGCCUCCUUUAUUUGCACCAAUGCUGGAUUAAUAAACUGCUUUUCCUUGACUUCCACUACGAGCGACAACUUUUCUGCAUUGUGCACCAUAAUCUCCUCCUCAUUUGGGGUCGAGAUACAAACCCCAAGACUGGCCAACUAAUAAAUCGCACGAGCUAGGAACCUUUGAUCCACAGUGACGUUUUAACUCAAUCAAUUCUGAGUAGCCACUUUAAUUAUUUAUGUUUGCUAUAUCACUGUAACAUGGAAAUUUUACACUUAAAAAAAAUAAUCAUAGCUUCCUAUUGAGCCAAACUACCCAUGGAUUUCCGACUGAGGGCGUCGGCACCAUGUUCGCCUUCCCUGGAUGGUAGAAGAUGUUCAUAUCAUAAUCUUUGAGCAAUUAUAACCACCGAUGUUGCCUCAAGUUCAACUCCUUGUGCUUGAACAAAUAUUGAAGACUUUUGUGGUCCGAGAACACAUCCACAUGGACCCCAUAAAGGUAAUGCCACCAUAUUUUUAAGGCAAACACAACUGCUGCAAGCUCCAAAUCAUGUGUCGGGUAAUUCUUCUUGUGAUUCUUGAGUUGCCUUGAAGCAUACACUAUAACCUUCCCAUGCUGCAUGAGCACACAUCUUGGAGGCAUGGUGUUGCAACCUCCAAAUCAUGGGUCCGGUAAUUGUUCUCGCGAUUCUUGUGUUUCCUUGAAGCAUACGCUAUAACCUUCCCCCUGCUGCAUGAGCACGCGCCCUAGACCGACCCUGGAGCCAUCGCAAUGCACCACAAAUCCUUCUGUGCCUUUUGGCAAAGCCAACACUGGUGUCGAGGUCAACCUUGACUUCAAUUCCUGAAAACGUUUCUCACAAGCAUCAGACCAUUAGAACUUGACUGAUUUCUACGUCAAUUUAGUUAACGGGGAGGCGAGGGUAGAGAAUCCCUCCACAAACCUCCGAUAAUAGCCUGCUAACCCCAAAAUGCUACGGAUCUAUGUUAGGGUUCUGAGUCUAGGACAAUCCUUCACUGCUGCAAUCUUUUGGGGGUCUACUUGAAGCCCCCUACCGGAAACAACAUGUCCCAGAAAAGCGACGGACUCCAACCAAAAUUCACAUUUUGAGAAUUUAGCAUACAACUGGUGCUGAUGAAGAGUUCACAAAACUACCCUUAGGUGAUCAGCAUGAUCCUCCCUGCUUCGCGAAAAAACAAGGAUAUCAUCAGUAAAAAAAACCACAAAGGAGUCUACACUGCCCUGAGGUGAUCGGCAUGAUCCUCCCUGCUUUCCAAAUAAACGAGGAUGUCAUCAAUAAAAACAACCACAAGGGAGUCUAGAAAUGGCUUGAAGACCCGAUUCACAAGAUCCAUGAAAGGUGUUGGGGCGUUGGUUAGCCCAAAAGACAUGACCAAAAAUUUGAAGUGACCAUAGGGGGUUCUGAAAGAGGUCUUAGGAAUAUCCCACUCCCUGAUAUUCAAUUGUUGAUACCGGAAUCGCAAAUCAAUUUUGGCGAAGAACUUUGCACCUUGCAAUUGGUCGAACAAAUCAUCUGUUCGGGGUAAAGGGUAUUUAUUCUUUAUGGUGACCUUGUUAAGCUGCCGAUAGUCGAUACACAUCCAAAGUGACCCAUCCUUCUUCCUAACAAAAAGAACUGGAGCACCCCAUGGCUACACACUCGGUCGAAUGAACCCCUUCUCUUAAAAAUCCUUCAGUUGCUCCUUUAACUCUCGUAACUUUGAUGGCGCCAUCCUCUUUGGUGGAAUAGAUAUUGGCAGGAUGUCUGGCAACACAUCAAUCCCGAAGUCAAUCUCCCUAUCUGGCAGAAUCCCUGGAAGCUCAUCUGGAAAUACCUCCGGAAAUUCAUUUACAACUGGCACGGAUCCGAGGGCAGGCACAUCUGAAGCGGUGUCCUCCACCCGGACCAAAUGAUAGAUACACCCUUUUUUAAUCAUCUUCGAAGCCUUAAGGUAAUAAAUAAACCUACCUUUUGGCACAACACUAUUGCCUCUCCACUCAAUAACUGGCUCACUGGUAAACUCGAAUCUCAUGACUGUCGUCUGGCAGUCAAGCUUAGCAAAGUUGUCCAAACUCAAAAGCUUUGCCGACUAAUACCCGUAAGGGCUCAUUACCCCGAACAUACACAAGGAAUUGAUCGUAUCUUUACCAUACCAAUUCGUUCCACUAACCAACUACUUCAUUUGUCUAGAUUUCCUUCUGAUUCAUUUUCAACUUGAUAUACUCUCUUGUUGUAGCACCAGAAUGCCUUAAUCCAGGCUUACCACCCGAGACUCGAACGUAAGACCACGUUGUCUAAGACCAAUCAGCUACUAUACACUCUCUCACAUGCUCCCAAAAAUACCACCUUCUAAACUUUGAAGAACUUCCUGUGAAUCUAAGUCUGCUACCUUUACUUCCCAGAUACUAAUACAUACAGUCUCGUAAUUAACAUAAAAAUACCAUAAGUCUUGACCUGUUCUAAUGAAAACACUGACUUGGUCACCUAGUCAACCUUAAAACACUUGAGUGCUACAUAUAGAAUCUUGAACACAUCAAAACUAUUCUCAAGAGUCAUUCACUCUUAUAGACACUGCAAAUUACCCGACUUAACAAAUCGAACCACUCGUGCCUCAUCAGUGCUCUGACAGUGCAUGACAUGAUCUCAUUCCGAUACAACCGAACAACUUACUUCUCUUUACACUAAGCAUUGCUUAUCCACAACUCAAGACAUCCUAUUAUUUCCUCACAUCGAAGCACCAUAUAUCCUUUGUCAAAAUUUUACUUCACUCAUGCCAUCCUCGGCUCAAUUUCUGCAACUUGAACUAAUUCACCUGCUUGCAUCAAACUAGAACUAACAUAGUACAUAAUCGUACAAUCAGUUAAACAGCAUCAACCUUCCCAACUUAGCUCGAAACCAUAUAUAUCACCACACAUAUGAGGAUGCAACGACCUGAACUGUCAUCCCGUGAGUUACCAUCCCAUUUUCCCCGUUUUAUGCUUUUACAUGUUCCAUUAUAUGCGCAUGGAGAGUUUGAGGUAAUUCGGAUGGAGUUUGGGUAGAAAUGAGACAAUUAGUCUCUUUAUGAGAAGGUUAGCUUUGAAAAAUCAACCAAAUGUUGACUUAUGAGUUAGAGGGUUCUGAAUGGAUUUCUGUUGAUUCGACUUGUUUCGGAUGGGGAUUUGUGACUUAGGAGCGAAAUCAUAACUUAAUUUGGAGGUCCGGUGUAGGAUUAGGCUUGAAUUGGCUAAGUUAGAAUUUUGGCGAAGUCCGGGUGAUAGGUGAGAUUUUGAUCCGAGCAUUGGAAUGGAAUUUCGAUAGUUGCACUAGCUCCGUUAGGUGAUUUCUUAUAUGUGUGCAAAUUUUCAGAUCAUUCAGAGGUGCUUAGGUCGGGUUUUGGAUCAAAUGCAAGUUUUAAAAGUAUUAGCUUAACUUAGGCUUGAAUCCGUGGUAACUUGAUGAUUUUAAUGUUUAUGAUAGUGUUUUUGUAUUUUGCGAGCAAGUUCGAAUGAAGUAGUAAGAUGUAUUUGUGUUUUUGGUUGAGGUCUCGAGGGUGUCUGCAAUCGUAAUGGAAGGGGGCUCAGAAUUUGUCUAUGUGAUCGCGUAAAGGGUGAUGCGAUCGCAUAGGUUGGGAAGGCUGGUAUGUGCGCUCGCAUAAGGGGAGUGCGAUCGCAUAAGAGGAACUAAGGGGCCUGGACUUUGGUCUAUGCAAUUGCAUAGGCUUGAAUGCGAUUGCAUAGGAGGAAAUUAAGGCUAUCAGAUUUUUCCCAAUGCGAUCGCAAUAGGGGUGAUGCGAUCGCGUAGAGGAAAGAACUGGGGGGACAAAAUGUUUUAAGGAUUAUUUUACCCGCGACAUAUUCAUAAUUUCCUCCAUUUAUAAGCAACCAAGAGAGAUUUUUGAGCGACUGGAAGAGUGUUUUCAAUGGGUAUUGAUUGGAGGUAAGUUUCUUGACUUAAAAAAAACUAUUUUUAGGGAGGAUUGACCCUCAAUUCCAUGAAAUUGUGUAGAAAUUGUGAAGAACUAGGGCUUAGCUUUUAGAAACAAAUUUUUGGGAUUUGAAAGGCCAUUUGAACUUUGUUUUUGGUAAACUUUAUAUGUACGGACUCUUGGAGAGACGAGGAAUUCGAUGAUGUAAUUCUGGAAUUUUUUUAUAAGUGGGCCCGAGGCUCGGGUUUUAGCAACUUCGUGAUUUUAGAAUUUUUUAAAUAAUUUCAAUUGGGUUAUGUUUAUUUAGACUAAAAUAACGUAUUCGUUGUGGUUUGACUUGAUUCAACGUGAGAGGAGGUUUACACGAAAGGAAAAGGCAUUGCGAACCAGUCUACGACCGGUUAAAGGUGAGUAGUUUGUAUAGAUGAUGGCCUGAGGGUUUGAAACNNNNNNNNNNNNNNNNNNNNNNNNNNNNNNNNNNNNNNNNNNNNNNNNNNNNNNNNNNNNNNNNNNNNNNNNNNNNNNNNNNNNNNNNNNNNNNNNNNNNNNNNNNNNNNNNNNNNNNNNNNNNNNNNNNNNNNNNNNNNNNNNNNNNNNNNNNNNNNNNNNNNNNNNNNNNNNNNNNNNNNNNNNNNNNNNNNNNNNNNNNNNNNNNNNNNNNNNNNNNNNNNNNNNNNNNNNNNNNNNNNNNNNNNNNAUAGAUGAUGGCCUGAGGGUUUGAAACCCCAGUUUAUCACAUCGUGAUGCUAUGUUAGGGCGUGACUCGCACCCCAUGGUAGGUGCGGGAUCGUAUAUAAUUGGGGAUUGUGACUUGGUCCAUCCCGAGAGCUAAAUAAAAUUAUAGGCGGCUGAUACGAACAUUGUAUUGUUAAUAAUUGGUCUUAUUGCCAUGUUUGGGGCCUUGUGUCAAUUUGUGGAAUCCGUCUAGGAUGAAUAUCUAUGUGAUAACAUGAUGUGCCUAAUAAUUGGUCCUAGUCCUGUUUUUUAUCACUUUUAAUAAAUGCUAAGUCACCCUUUUUCCUAAAAUUAAAUAACUAAAUUAUAUUCACCUUAAUAAUUGGAAAAUGGGAAAUUAGACUAAAUCUAUUUUGUGACUUACAUGUAUACUGUGGACUGAGUAUGGGUCGGGUUGCACGCUGCAGCAGUGAUAUGAUGAUAUUGAGCUUGGGCUGUAGGAGCCCCUCCGAAGUCUGUACACAUCCCAAGUGAGCACCGUCGACAUUAAACGGAUCAGCCUAUACGCCGUAACAGAUUUAUGUGCAUUGCAUUACAUGUUUACCUCAUACUUGACUGUUAUAUUUUAUAUUGCUUUGCGUUUAAUUCGUAGUUAAGGUAUAGGACUGUUAGUUGUAGCUUUGCUUAGUGUCAUUUCUUGGAUUUCUUACCUUCAGACAUUAUAUAUGCUUAUUACUUACUGAGUCUAUAGUACUCACCCCUACUCCCUGCACCUUGCGUGCAGAUUCAGGUACGCCGGAGGCUUAGCUGAGUACUUGUAGUCUCCAGAUAUUCUUCAGAGUCGUUGAGGUAGUUGUUUGACGUUCACAGGACCUGGCUGCUCUUAAUAUUUCAUUUUAUUACUAUUAUACACAUUUUCAAACAUUUAUAUUUUCGUUCACCUAUUAUUAUCCAGUUUUUGUGUAGAGGCUCUAGACUCUGACCCAGAUAUUUUGUGAGUGUUUAUUUAGAUUCAUAUUAUCUUCGUAUUAUUCUAUUAAUAUUAUUUGGAUUGUUAUUCAAAAAUUGUAAUAUUUUCCUUAAACUGUCGGUUUGAGAAUUUAUUGACGAAGGAAGAGAGAACGUUGGUCAGGCUUGCCUAGCUUUCGGGUUGGGUGCCAUCACGACCGGGAUUGGGUCGUGACACUUUUUUCCAAUUAAAGGACAAUCUGAAUGGGAUUUGGUUAUUAAUUAUUUAGAGUCACCACUUGGAAGAUUAAUGGUGUCCCAAGUAACCGGUUCAAUCCCGAACCGAGGACAAUCAUGACUCUGUUAACAGUCCGCGAAGCAGAAAUCCGAUUAAGGAAUUCUGUUAACCCGGGAGAACGUGUUAGGCAUUCCUGGGUUCCGUGGUUCUAGCACGGUCGCUUAACUGUUGCAUUUAACUUUUAUCUGAUUUUAUUACAUGAAGAGCCUAUGUGCCAAUUUUACUUUUAACCGCUUUUGUUUAAUAUGUGUUUAUUUAAGAGAAAGUGAACGUCGUUUAAAGCGUGAUUUCAGAUUGCGCCGCAUGAAAUGAAUCCGCAAUCCUAGGCAUACUCUAUUCAUUGUUUUAGGAUUUGAUUUGGUCACAUGAAAUGAACACCCGAGUUGAAGAAGGUAAUUUUAUUAAAAUCGCGUCUAAAAGAAGAGUCUACCUGUUAUUAUCUCUUGGGAGGGUCGUGAAAUUUUCUAAACGACCAUUCCCGAUUUUCUAAAUAUUUUUAAACCUUUAUUGAGUGCCCCACAAUUUUGCAUUUUUAUGGGGCGAGGCUCGUCUCAUUUUACUUUAAAGGAUAAACCUAAAAGCAAAUAUAUUUUCUAUUUUUGAUCUUUGUCUCUAAAAGAAAAGAAAAAACCCUAAUUAAUUACAUUUAGAAUUUGAGCUGCGAGUUCAAGUGCGGUCUAAAUAAAAGGAAAAGCCUUUUAAUUUAAGCCUGCUACCUAACUCGAAUCCCAAAAUCAUAUCAAAUUAACAACGUAAAACUUGAAAGAGCAUCAGCUGGGCCCAACACGAAUGAAAAGUAGGCCCAGAUAGCAAUACGUUGAACCCACAUUGGGUCCAAUUGUCGUGCACAUGAGAAGGAUUUCGGGAUCGAGUCCCAAUUGACACAAAAGUCCAAUUCACCCACCGAUCAAGGGAUAUAGGUUCGAAACCUGAUGGACGCGUAUCAACAUACCCACACAUUUGAAUAAACUCAAACUCACAAAUCUAGAUGCACAAUGCUAAGAUAUUGAAUUCGAAUCUCAGUUAUUUUUACUUAUUUAAUUGCAUUGAACCUAAUUACCAAUUAUCAAUUAAGUAAUAAAACAGAAUAAGAUUUGAGAUUAACCUAGACCUAUAACUAACAAUUAAUGGACAGAGUUAUUUUGACCCAAAAUUCUAAAACUAACACUAUGAUUAACUAACAAAUAAAGCAUGCACGAGAGAAAUCAAUAGAACUAAUUAAAACGGAAUUUGAACUAAGAAUUUAACCAGAAUUUAAUUACAAAUAAACUUACAAUUAAUAAAUUAAGAAAUUAACACUACACUAAAUUAAAGACAGACAUGUCAAAUUAAAUCGAAACCAAAGAUUAGAACGACUUACUGAUUCGACCCCAGAAUUUUAUUUGAUUCCGGAAUUGAAUUCUAAUUAAUAUUAGAAGUUUAUUCUUUUCAAAAUAAACUCCUAAUGUUAAUAAAAAUCCCCAUAAUGAAGCUCUUGAGCGGCAAAAAAACCUUUGAAACUCAAGAUCGGGAUUCGAGCCCAACAAUGACAUUCGAAAGUUUCUGAUUGGUGAUUACUGAUAGGGGUAAGGAGUAUAUGGUAUGAAUUUGGGUUCAUUUGGGCCAACUUGUGACUUGGCCUGAAAAUCCUCGAUGGAAUAUUCGACGAGAUUGGAUAUGAUUCAAAGGAAACCAUCGUGGGGGUUGGGAAGAGGUGAAGAAGGCGGUUCUGUGGUGAAAAUUUCGGUUCAUUUUGCAUGGAAGUCGUUUCCCGCCGGCGAGGAUUUCGGCGAGCUCAAGGCUGUACGAGGAAGAGGAUAUCUGUCUCUAGGGUUCCACCAGACUUAAGGACAGUUAUAUCUAAUUUGGAUCGAACAAAAAGGGUCGUUGGAUCAAAUAAAUGAAGGGCCGGGAUUAAACCCCACCUGAACGACGUCGUUUAGUGUUCUUUUGAGGCAGAUCGGGUAUGGGAUU
rnacentral:lncRNA from 1 species